rnacentral:rRNA from 1 species
UACGGAGGGGGCUAGCGUUGUUCGGAAUUACUGGGCGUAAAGCGCACGUAGGCGGCUUUGUAAGUUAGAGGUGAAAGCCCGGGGCUCAACUCCGGAAUUGCCUUUAAGACUGCAUCGCUAGAAUUGUGGAGAGGUAAGUGGAAUUCCGAGUGUAGAGGUGAAAUUCAUAGAUAUUGGGAAGAACACCGGUGGCGAAGGCGGCGACCUGGUCCUUGACUGACGCUGAGGCGCGAAAGCGUGGGGAGCAAACAGG